GUGCCAGCCGCCGCGGUAAUACGUAGGGUGCAAGCGUUAAUCGGAAUUACUGGGCGUAAAGCGUGCGCAGGCGGUUUUGUAAGUUUGUCGUGAAAGCCCCGGGCUCAACCUGGGAAUUGCGAUGAAGACUGCAAGGCUUGAAUCUGGCAGAGGGGGGUAGAAUUCCACGUGUAGCAGUGAAAUGCGUAGAGAUGUGGGGGACACCGAUGGCGAAGGCAGCCCCCUGGGUCAAGAUUGACGCUCAUGCACGAAAGCGUGGGGAGCAAACAGGAUUAG
rnacentral:rRNA from 1 species